rnacentral:lncRNA from 10 species
GUUUCUCUUUGUUCUGUGGUCACAGCUACACACCUUUGUUCAUUGAUAAAGGGUGGUACAAACCAUCUAGACGGAAAGGGCCAUGGAAACUACUGUUUCUUCUGAUGUUUGGGCACAGAACUGACAUCCCUUUGCUCCAGUCUUCCAAACCCUGGCCACGUGAACUAAGCCAUCUGAUUGCUGGGUAUAUCAGCAUCUAGUUUGUGCAAAAUUAUCUGAACUUAUUUUCGUUCCUGCUGAUGCAAGUGCCUGGUGGGUCAAAUCCGGAGGCGGAUGCAUGACAAGAUCCCCUGCCACUCAGCUACUUAUACAACUCUUCUCUCCACAAAUACUAAUUCAGCUUUUAAUUUGAAACUGUUAGGGAAGUUUCAGACAGGGAAAAUAAAGGAGUUAAAAGUAUGCCUGCAGCUCUAAAAUAUGUCAAAUUAGUGUAUUGAUUACUUCAAGCUCAAAGUACUUUGGAAACUGUAGUUCCAGAAGUGACUAUCUGACCUGUCUUUUCCUGCAUAUAGCAAGCCAUAAAACUUCCAUGGAGAAAGAUGCCUUCCCUGUGCCGGGACAAGAAAAUAACCCUAUCCCCAGGAUUGGAAAUUGUUGCUUCAGUAGACCUGUACAAAUAAACUAAAGUAACUCUUAUCUCCCAACUAGCUUUAUAACUCCUCCUUGACACUCCCCACCAGUAGAUCUCCUAGUGACUUCCCUGGAAUUCACUGUCCCUAGCUUAGAUCCUUUUGUGUCACGGUCCCAAUCCCUGUUGGACUGAACAAAGGGGGAUGAACGCGGGAAUAAAGACAAAGACAAAAGAGUAUUUUUGGUUGAAGGGGUCAGGGGGCUCCUUACUUCUAGUGAACAAGGGCUUUGAGUUUCUAGCUCCCUUCAUAUUUAUUGAGAAAAGAAGAUAGGGAGAAGGAGGUGGUUGUCAGUAGGCUGCUUGACUCGGCGCAGGCCUGCAUGACUGCAUUCUCUGAACAGUAGUCUCCAGAUGUUCCAGCAGAUAACCUCAAGGAGCAUGGCGCCAGGGAGUGAUUGCACCCAGCAUAUCUUCUGGCAGCUGUGAGUCUGCCCACAUCCUGCAUUCAUGAUAAAC